rnacentral:rRNA from 1 species
UCGAGCGGACAGAUGGGAGCUUGCUCCCUGAUGUCAGCGGCGGACGGGUGAGUAACACGUGGGUAACCUGCCUGUAAGACUGGGAUAACCCCGGGAAACCGGGGCUAAUACCGGAUGCUUGAUUGAACCGCAUGGUUCAAUUAUAAAAGGUGGCUUUUAGCUACCACUUACAGAUGGACCCGCGGCGCAUUAGCUAGUUGGUGAGGUAACGGCUCACCAAGGCAACGAUGCGUAGCCGACCUGAGAGGGUGAUCGGCCACACUGGGACUGAGACACGGCCCAAACUCCUACGGGAGGCAGCAGUAGGGAAUCUUCCGCAAUGGACGAAAGUCUGACGGAGCAACGCCGCGUGAGUGAUGAAGGUUUUCGGAUCGUAAAACUCUGUUGUUAGGGAAGAACAAGUACCGUUCGAAUAGGGCGGUACCUUGACGGUACCUAACCAGAAAGCCACGGCUAACUACGUGCCAGCAGCCGCGGUAAUACGUAGGUGGCAAGCGUUGUCCGGAAUUAUUGGGCGUAAAGCGCGCGCAGGCGGUUUCUUAAGUCUGAUGUGAAAGCCCCCGGCUCAACCGGGGAGGGUCAUUGGAAACUGGGGAACUUGAGUGCAGAAGAGGAGAGUGGAAUUCCACGUGUAGCGGUGAAAUGCGUAGAGAUGUGGAGGAACACCAGUGGCGAAGGCGACUCUCUGGUCUGUAACUGACGCUGAGGCGCGAAAGCGUGGGGAGCGAACAGGAUUAGAUACCCUGGUAGUCCACGCCGUAAACGAUGAGUGCUAAGUGUUAGAGGGUUUCCGCCCUUUAGUGCUGCAGCAAACGCAUUAAGCACUCCGCCUGGGGGAGUACGGGUCGCAAGACUGAAACUCAAAGG